GGGCGGUUAGCUCAGUUGGUUAGAGCGUCUGCUCGACACGCAGGAAGUCGGAGGUUCGAAUCCUCUACCGCCCACCA
rnacentral:tRNA from 1 species